rnacentral:rRNA from 1 species
CCUACGGGUGGCAGCAGUGAGGACUAUUUGUCAAUGGCCGUAAGGCUGAACCAGCCAAGUCGCGUGAAGGAAGAAGGCUCUAUGGUUUGUAACCUUCUUUUAUAGGGGACUAAAGGUAUCCACGUGUGGAUAUUUGCAUGUACCCUAUGAAUAAGCAUCGGCUAACUCCGUGCCAGCCGCCGCGGUAAUACGGAGGAUGCGAGCGUUAUCCGGAUUUCUUGGGUUUAAAGGGUGCGUAGGUUGUUUUUUAAGUCAGCGGGGAACGUUUGUGGCUCAACCAUAAAAUUGCCGUUGAAACUGGAAGACUUGAGUGUGUUUGGGGUGGGGGGAAUGCGUGGUG